rnacentral:misc_RNA from 1 species
GCUGAUUCCACCAUUAUCUAGAAAACAGAAACAUCUAAGUGAAACGCGGCAAAUAACAAUGUUAUAAUUACUUCCCAAGGGACUACUGCUUAGCAUUCAACUCAGGCUGAUAUUACAUGGUCAAAAUUCUCUCAAACACCUUCAAUCUGGAAAAGCUUCGAUCUCACCAUUUGUUUGAAAGUUCAACACUUUGAAAUCUGACAACCAAGCAAUCCAAGCACAAAACUUUACUACUCAAACAACCAGACAAGACCUGUGAAAGUGACUAGCAAGCUGAAAACUUGAAUCUU